GGAAGCGGUGUCGCUCUGAGGGGUCGCCAGUCGCCGCAGGCGCUUCAGCCCAGCGGCGGGCCUUGGCCCUUGGCUGCCUACUCCUACCGCCCCAGCCCCGGGCGGCCCUGGGCCUGCUGCGGGCGCGGCGCUGCCCGACCAGAGCUUCCUGUGGAACGUCUUCCAGAGGGUCGAUAAAGACAGGAGUGGAGUGAUAUCAGACACCGAGCUUCAGCAAGCUCUCUCCAACGGUGAAACCGCACUGAGAAGGUAUUUGUGGCCUAUACGCUGAUUCAUUGAUUAGACUUCUUUGCACAGGAGAGCUGCUAAAAAUUACUGCGGUGAACAGAUGGAGGCCCAUUGAGGCUUCUCUGUCCUCCACGGGGAACAGCAUUGGCCUAAACCUGCAGACACCAUUGCAAAGGGAAUUCAGGCAAACCGGCUGGUGAAGAAUGAUUCCAGCGUGGGGACAGAGGCUGACAUUUCUUGCGCACGUGGACUCCCUUUAAUCCAGUGACUGUCAGGUCGAUCAUAUACUACACUGAAGGCUGGUUACGCUCUUAUGUGCAAUAGAACCUCAAACACAUCGUAACACACCUUUGGAGAAUCCUUACAAGAACACCAAGUUAACAGUUAUCUCUGACCACACUACCUCAGCAAAAAACCAGGAAGAAAAAAUAUUCUUCAACCCUUUUCAGGGACAGAAAGCAUCAUUUCAAAAGUCCAAGAAGGGAAGCAAAACUUCUGACCUGAGACAUCGAAGCAGAUAAAAAGCCGCUACACAAAAUGUAUCGCUACAACUAGAGGGCAGUCUUGCCUUUCUUCCAUUCAAUUAUUCAGUUUCUCAUGUUCCUAAGUGCCAGCCCAGAACCAUGGAAUGUGAAGAAACACAAAACUCACUCCUCUGCAUCAGUGAAUUGAUUGUGUGGUGGGGAUGUAAGUCUGCAUGUGACUGACAGUUCCCCAAAGUGGUGCCAAGUCAAUCUAAACUAGAGAGAAUUUCUGGCCAGGCCAAGCAGAGAUUUCAUGGAUGAAGUCUCCCAAAGACUGAUUUCCUAAACAUUAAACAUCACUGGUUUUCCAAAA
rnacentral:lncRNA from 1 species